GGCUGGAGGGUGUCCAGAGAAGGGAGCAGAGCUGGAGAAGAGUCAGGAGCACAGGUCUGAUGAGGACCAGCUGAGGGAGUUUUCCAACCUGAAUGAUUCUGUGAUUCUAUGAUCCUGUCACUUCACCAUCUUGUGUCUACUUCAGCUGUGGAUCCAAGCAAGGCUCCUGUAACAUUCCAACCAACUCCCUGCCUAUGACAUCAGCAGCUUUUUCUUUUACAAGCUCUUCAUUCUUUUCAAGUGUGUCUGCACCAGAGCAGCUCAAGAGAUGUCCCAAGACCAUGUUAUCCAGCUCUGGGUACUCCACUACUUCAGGGAACCUUCCUGGCCACCUGUAGAGCCAAAUGAACCUGCCGUGCCACCUCUGUGCACACUGCAUUGCUCCCAGCUGCCCUUGCAACCACGGUAUCAGGCACUUUCAGGAACAGUUGCUCCCCGAAAUUACACCAUGUCCUCUGCUACCAGGGCAAAUGGGAUCAAUGGUCUUCAGAAAACACAUUGCUAUCUACUGUGCCUAUCCUUGAACUCUGGGCUCCCAGGAAGAUGGUUCUUCCCAGGUAUUUCUACACAAUUCAGAAGCAAGAAAGCUGGUUAUCAGUUCCCAACCACAGCAGUGGCAUCUUGUUCCCCUUGACCACAUCAUUUUACACAGGAAGAACCAGAGCACUGUCACCACCUCUCUGAGAGUGGGGCAAAAGGGCCUGCAGAGCUGCUGAGAUGAUUUUGUGUUUCUGCUCCCUCUUGGAGGCUCCAGGAGACAGAAAGAGGAGGUUGGUAACUGAGGUACAACUCUCUCCAGCCAAAGAAUGGAAGGCACAGACUGGAUGCUUAGGGAGUAGUAACACCAGCUCUAAAAAAAACUGUGAUUUCACCUAUGGAAGUGUGAAGUGACAUCCUGAUGAUCUCUGCCUGCAACUGGAAUAAAAGAAGCAGAUCUCAAUGUGCUUCAGAAAACUGCACCUUCCAGGUGAGGAGCAGCUGGACUGACCUCAGAGCUGCUGUGAAAGGGUCCCAGAGAUUCUCCAAAUGUCUAACAGUAAAAAAUUCAAUAUUUUUUUUAAAUGUUGGAUCUUAGGGAUUAUAUUAUUCUGUUACAGAUUUUUGUGGUUUGGGUUUUUAAAAAUCUUUUGUUGUUGUUGUUGUUGUUGUUGUUCUGGUGGUUGCUU